CCCCGGUGUGGGGGACAACCAUCCCGAAAUGGGGUGCUAUCCCGCAUACGCUCUCAGGAGGAAAGCCUUCGGGCGCACUGAGACGGGGCUGCGGCCCAUCAGGUAGUUGGUAGGGUAAGGGCUUACCAAGCCGAUGACGGGUACCUGGUCUGAGAGGACGAUCAGGCCAGACUGGAACUGAGACACGGUCCAGACUCCUACGGGAGGCAGCAGCAAGGAAUUUUCCGCAAUGGGCGCAAGCCUGACGGAGCAACGCCGCGUGCCAGAAGACGGCCUUCGGGUUGUAAAUGGCUUUUGCCGGGGAAGAUAAUGACGGUACCCGGCGAAUAAGCCCCGGCUAACUCCGUGCCAGCAGCCGCGGUAAUACGGAGGGGGCAAGCGUUGUCCGGAAUCACUGGGCGUAAAGCGUGCGUAGGCGGUACGGAGCGUCGCCACUGAAAGUGCUCGGCUCAACCGAGUGAGGUGUGGCGAUACGACCGAACUGGAGGCAGUGAGAGGUAUGCAGAAUUCCGCAUGUAGUGGUGAAAUGCGUAGAGAUGCGGAGGAAUGUCGGUGGCGAAAGCGGCAUACUGGCACUGACCUGACGCUGAGGCACGAAGGCGUGGGGGAGCGAACCGGAUUAGAUACCCGGGGUAGUCCACGCAGUAAACGAUGUGAGCUCGGUGUUGCGG
rnacentral:rRNA from 1 species